rnacentral:misc_RNA from 1 species
GAUGAAGAACGCAGCGAAAUGCGAUAAGUAAUGCGAAUUGCAGAAUCCGUGAGUCAUCGAAUCUUUGAACGCACAUUGCGCCCCUUGGUAUUCCAUGGGGCAUGCCUGUUCGAGCGUCAUCUACACCCUCAAGCUCUGCUUGGUGUUGGGCGUCUGUCCCGCCUCUGCGCGUGGACUCGCCCCAAAUUCAUUGGCAGCGGUCUUUGCCUCCUCUCGCGCAGCACAUUGCGCUUCUCGAGGUGUCUGCAGGGCCCGCGUCCACGAAGCAUUACCAGUCUUUGACCUCGGAUCAGGUAGGGAUACCCGCUGAACUUAAGCAUAUCAAUAAGCGGAGGA